CGGACGGGUGAGUAACACGUGGGUAACCUACCUAUAAGACUGGGACAACUUCGGGAAACCGGAGCUAAUACCGGAUAAGAUAUCGAACCGCAUGGUUCGAUAGUGAAAGAUGGUUUUGCUAUCACUUAUAGAUGGACCCGCGCCGUAUUAGCUAGUUGGUGAGGUAACGGCUCACCAAGGCAACGAUACGUAGCCGACCUGAGAGGGUGAUCGGCCACACUGGAACUGAGACACGGUCCAGACUCCUACGGGAGGCAGCAGCU
rnacentral:rRNA from 1 species